GGGUCUGCACCGGGAGACCCUCCGUGCGUGGUUCUGGCCCCGGCCCCCGCGGCAAGGAGCUGUGCAGGAGAUAGGCCAGUCGCAGCAAAUCCUGCCGGUGUGUUCUUCCCCUGCGUGUCCCGCCUGGGAGGGAGCUCUGGGCGCACUGCGGCCCGCGGUGAGGGUAGCAGGACACAGCCUGAUAAUUUAAGAUGUGUUGCAGAGGAAGUUCAUAAACACAGUGUUACCAUGUGGAGCAGAGGUUGGUUGACUACUUGCCUUGAUCUACAUCCUGGGGAAAGUGGCUAGAAGCAGGAUCCCACCUUUUAUUCACUUUGGGUAAGAGGUACCUUUACCUGUCCUGCUGAUGAGCUGAACAACAAACCAGAGGAAUGAGAAGCAGGAGCAGAGGCUGCCUGCCCAAGGCUGACCUUUUGGAGGACCUCUUGGAGACAACAGAGUGCUGGCCAGUGCCUGAGCUGCAGUCCCAUGAAUCCCACAUCUCCUGGAAGCACCUCCUGCACAGACCUGUCUCAUGCCACUCAUGACCCUGUCUCCUGCAGCAGCCUCUCUGACUCUCCCUGCCUGUCUGCCAUGAUGGUCAUGUCAGGCUUGAUCAUUUCCAAGCCUUAUUCCUACAGCCUCUGUUGUGUUUCAGCAGAACAUGCUGCAGAUCCCUGACCUCCAGGCUGAACUUUUUAAAAAGGACAAUUUCACCAAGUCCAAACCAGGUAUGAGCUGGCAGCAAACUGUCAGCAGAUCAUGUGCAUAAUAAGGAGAACAGUUUAAGGAUGUUCUACUAGAGAACCAAACCACCACAGGUUCACUCUGGAGAGGCCAGCCAGGCUUGCUUUAACCAGCUGGAUUUACAGGGGCUGGGAAAGGAGCUGGGAUGGAAAGGAAAGGCACUGUUGGCAGGAAGUCUGCCUCUCCUCUGGUGGGGCUGCUGCAGAGGGGUGAAUCAUGUCCCCAGGAUGGUGGGGAUGUAGUUCAAAGGGUUUCUGGGCCGAGCUGCUGUGCUUCCUGUAGGGCCUCCUGUCAUCUCCCUUGCAGGGCUUGGAGGUGGCAUUGGAACACAAGAUCCCUGUGAGCCCAGACAGAAGUGGCUGGAGGCAGGCAGGGCCUGUUGGAUUGUGGCUGGAGACAACAGGAAGGAGAAGGGAAGAAGAGACAGUGGGGACAAAGCUGUGGGAACACACAAGUCACAGAGAGCAGAGCCCAGGGCUCAGGUGUGACACCCUGCUUUGCACACCUUGUCACCACCACACAGACCCAAACACACAGAUCUGGUCCUCUGAGCUGGCACCAGCAGCAGCCAGCCCAUUUUUCAGCUGGCAAGUUCCCUACAUGUGGCAGCACAGAGAAAAUCCACCCUAAUGAAAUGCUUCCCUGCAGUAAUUGGAUUUCCACUGUAAAUGAAGUCAUUAUGCUGAUUGUCCUUGUGCUUUUGAAGAGGAGACAAUGCUGGUGAGCAGCAGCCCUGGCUGAUGGACACAUUUACAUAUCUCUGCCAAGGGAGCAAAGCAGAGGCACUUCCCUGGGCAGAACAGCAAGGGCCAGUGUGUGUGAGGUCGAGGUGGCCCCGUGGCUCCAAAUGCUUAUGGCUCUGCCCCAAAAAAUGUGCAGGGCAGAGGCUGUAAAGUGAUUCGUGCAGUGGCCAGAGGACUUUCAGGAGCGUAUCUCAGCUGUGGUGGCAUUCCUGGGCAUGACGUGCCCUCCCUGCCCAGGCUGAACCACAGGCACUUCCCAGUCCAUGGCUGAAAAGCUGCCAUGUCCAGCACUGGGAACACAGAGGUCUCCAAGGAUGAAACACAGAAGAAGCAGGGGAAGGGUGUGCACCACAGAUGUGUGUCAGCAGCAGAGGUGGGAUCAGGCCUGGGCUCCUCUCUGGGGUUUCCAUGGAGCUGGUUGGCUUUGGAGAUGUGGGCUGACCUGGUGCCAUCAAGGGAAAAGAGGUGAAGGCAAUUUCAGGGUGCUCUGGGAACACCCAUAAUUCAAGCUGGAGCCUGAGCAGGGCUUUGUCAUUGUGGUUCAAUCAACAGCACAUCUCUGUCUGUGCCAUCUCCUCCCUCCUUUGCUUUUAAGGUUCUUUAGUCACACAGGAAAAUGUCACACUAUAAAAAAACUCACAGAAUAAAACCAAAAAAGCCCAAGUGAAAUGAAAAAUGCAGCUGCAAUUCUGAGGUUGCUUUUCAGGCUGGCUGUGACCAAAAUCCUUUCAGCAAGUCUCAGGACCCAGGCCUCCCUUAGCUGUGCUGCUGGGCCAAACAGGGAUGUACAACUGGGAACAGAAGCCAAAACACUCUUUGGGACCAAGAUGCCUGGCUGGAUUGGGAACAGAGUAAAUCAACCAAAUCUAAAUUAGUGCUAUGAAUCAUCUGUGAAAGGUACAAACAACUGAGACAUCUGUUUGCCUUUACACCUCGAUUCUUUCCGUGAGAAUUCAUCGGGAUCAGUGGCGCAGCUGAUGGAGGACACAGAUCAGGAGCCACACCAAGGCUCUGCUCCCUGGGUGCUGCUGCCAUUUGCCAAAAGGGGCAACGUGUUCAGCCAACACAGACUGCUAGAGGCAGUGAGAUGGAGUGAGGUGCUUCUGCAGUCUCACCAUCCCUGUGGGAACACUUGUCUCUGCCCUCCUGAGCCCCUCAGGACUCACGUGGAACCAGGCUGGCCCAGGGACCUCGCUGACACUCAUGCAGGGUGCAGCUGAGGGCAGACACAUACCUGAGUCCAAGAAGGGAUUAGAAAGAUGGGCUCCGUGGUGGCUACUGAACACAAUGGUCCACAAGCUGCUGCCAGCUCCUCAGGUCCCUGCUGCUGGGGCACAGCCAGGAGAGGAUCAGCUCAGAGCUGCCCACUGACACCCCUUGCCCACAGCCCAGACGUUUUGGCCCUGCUUGGAGAGGAGGCAGUGGGGAUGCUGGGCUCUGCUCCACACCCUGGAGCCAUCCUGUUGUGCCCAGGCUAAGCUGCUUCCCUCAUCCCUUGCAGAGCCCUCAUGCCUGCCUGAGCCCCUUUCCCUUCCAGAGCCCAUCCCAGUUCCCAGGAGGGCAGCAGGGAGCUCUGUGCUGGCACAGCCAUGUUCCCAUCCCAGCUCCAGGACGCCUUGCCCUGCCGGGGAGUCCCCGUGUGUCCCCAUGGCCCAAGGCCAGCGGGCAGAGCAGAACCCAGCAGGGCCAGCUGGCAGUGGCAGGAGCUUCACAAAUCCUGUGGCGCCCGAGGAGACAGACGGUUUAUUUCAUCUCCAACCCAGUGCUGGGAAGGACCGUGUCCCUGUGGAGCUGGUGCAGAGCCAGGGCUUCUCCUGUGAAAGCAGCAGCAGAGCUCCUGCCGGGGGAAGCAGGGCCAGCCCUGGGAAAGCCCUGCCUGGGAGACUUUAGUGUUUUAGACAUUGUUCAGGGCUGCCAAAGCCCAGCUACAGCACUGGGCAGGAGCAACUUGGAGACACAGAGCUGUGUGCCCAUCACUGGAGCUGCAGGGACCUGUGGAUGUCCAGUCCCUGUCCCCUCCACCUGCCCCAUGUGCCACUGCAGGCUCUCCCGCGUUCCCUCCCACAGAGCUGCCUGCCUCCCCACCACGAGACAGAUGGGGUGGGGAACUGGGGCUGGAUUCAAGCUGCCAAGGGACAGUGCAUGGAUGCCAGGAGAAGGCUUUGAAGAAAUCUGGGCUUGAAGCCACUGCUGGAGCAGCAUGCCUGGGUCACAGCAGGAUGGGUGCAGGGCCUGCAUUAGGAGAGGAGUUGGCUGAGAGCGGGACCCCGCCCGUGCACAAUAUACCUUGAGGGCCUCUGUGCAAUGUGGAGCAAACCUGGGAAAAUCCUUGCCAAAGCCCUGUGGGACAGCCAAAAGUAAGGGAGACAGGACAUUUUCUUGGAAGGGAAACUUCUUGAGACUCUGCAAUCAGACAUACACAGGUGAGGAAACACGCAGGUGCUGGGGAAAUACCUGGGGUAUAUAUCAUAUAAAUCACAUCACCUGCUGUGACAGCAACCUCCUAAGGCCAUAGCUGGAGACAAGUAACAAGUGACAGCACAAGAGGAAACAGCUUUAAGUUGUGCCAGGGGAGGUUCAAGUUAGAUAUUAGGAACAAUUUCUUCCCCAAAAGUGUUACCAGGCCCUGGCCCAGGCUGCCCAGGGCAGGGAUGGAGUCCCCAUCCCUGGAGGGAUUUCAAAGGUGUGUAGAUGUGGUGCUGAGGGACAUGGGCUAGUGGCAGUGCUGGGUUAAUGGUUGGACUUGUUGAUCUUAAAGGUCUUUUCCAACCAAAAUGAUUCUAUGAUACGUGGACCAUGGGUUGAACAGCACAGCCAUUUCUCUGGUCUUGUCGCCCCCUUUGGUGGUGUUUGGCAGUUGAGAUCUUCCAAACGGGGCUCCUAGAAGAGAACUGCUGGAAAAUUCAGAGGAAAACAGAAAGUUUCAUCCACAGGCCAUCAAACAAGGCAGAAGCAAUUCAAUCCCACUCUGCCAUUCCCAGAGGGAAGAGGGAUGUGUUGGAUACCUCUUUGAUCUAAUGUAAACAGUGCAUGAUUAUAUCCAAUGGCUACAAGCACAAGUCUGAACAAUUCCUGCUGGAAAUCAGAUGCACAUUUUUAAGGGCAGUUAAUGAAUCACUGUAUCAGAUUUCCUGGGGAUGGGAUAAACUCUCCACCAGGCUCCUCAGGGGGGAUGUUCUCCCCUCACUGGGCCCUGCAGAACCUCCGACCAUUGCCUGGCCCAUGCUCAGCAGAUCAAAACUGCUGCACAGCUGGUGCCUCUGCCUUCAAACCCAGGAUAUGCAUUUUCCAGCAGAAAAUGAGCCUACACCUGAAGGGGAGAGCUACAAAUCCACUACUUUUUUAUUCAGAGUUUACUUGCAUAGCUGCUUCCCACAACAGGGAGCAGAUACCAACAUAUAACCCCACACUUUAAGACCUACAGGUUUGAAAAUAAGGGGCUGUGUAGAUCUGGCUUUGGUUCAAUUCAUCACUGAGACACUAUCUGCUCAGUGACCCGAGAUGCAAAAUCACCACACCUUCAUACAGCACAACACGGGCCCAGGGAAUACAAUUCCAAGGCUGUCAUUUCAUUUAUCCUCUGCAAUCAGAUUAGUAAAUUAAUAUAUGCCAAGCCCUGUCACUGUUACAGUCAGUGGAUAUUUCUCCAUGCCUGCAUCUGGAUGUCUGACAGUUUGUUUACAUGAUCACUGAGAUGAAAAACUCAAAUUAUUUGGCUCAGCAUCAAGAGCAGCCUCUAUUUUAGCCUCCUGCAGUGGCAGCUCCCAGUGAAUUUUAAUAAGCAUUUAACAAUGUGUGUGUGUCCUGUUGUUGUGGGUGGGAGUGUGUGGAAGGACUGGGUGACAUGCACCUAUCCUGGGAUACCAAGGGAUUAAUAACCUGCUUCCCGUGUGUCCUGCGUGGCUGAGCUGCCUCCCAAGGUGGCUCAUCCCCUCUAACAGCACAGGUGGCAGAGCUGGGUGCCAGAGCAUGGACCCUUCCCCAGCACGACCCUUCCCCACCUCCCAGCUUGUCCUCCUUGCAGUGACUCCCUGAGAGUCUCAUUAAAAAGGAAAGGGUUGGUGGUCACUGCCUGGUUCUCCUCCAUCCUUCUGGCAUGUUCUCCAGCACUGGCUCAUGUUGUCCACAAGCAACUGGUGUGGAGUCCCCUGCUUUGCCACUCAAGCAUCCAAGCCACUAGAUGGGUGUCAAUGGGGCUUUGCAAGCAACUGGGUUGGGUUUCCAGCUGCUCUGGGGCUCCAUGGAGCCUUGUGGCAGGCUUGGGAAGGGGCUUUGCUCCAACCCCACCUGUGUGGGAGGCUGCAGGGCCAUGGGGAGCCACGGGCCAUCAUGGCUGUGCUCCAACAGUUAACAUGUUGGAAGAAAUAGAGUGGGUUCACACAACCUGGGGGAGAAACAGGCCCAUGCCCAGGGGUGGAUGAGAUGGCAAAAACCCAGCAGCUCUGCUGGGGUGCUCAGGUGGCAGCCCCCAUCUGCUCAGGGGGUCUGUCUGUGUCCAGGGAUGAUUUAAUUUAGACAUUAGGAAGAAAUACUUCACUGUGUCCAGUUCUUGAGUCCCCAACACAGGAGGGCCAUGGAGCUGUUGGAGAGAGUCCAGAGGAGGCCACAGAGAUGAUCCCAGGGCUGGAGCAGCUCUGCUCUGGAGACAGGCUGGGAGAGUUGGGGUGUUCAGCCUGGAGAAGAGAAGGCUCGAGGGAGACCUGAGAGCACCUUCCAGUGCCUGAAGGGGCUCCAGGAAAGCUGGGGAGGGGCUUGGGACAAGGGCAGGGAGGAAUGGGAUGAGGGAUAAUGGAUUAAAUGGAUUAAAACUGUAAGAGAGGAGAUUUAGACAUUAGGAAGAAAUUCUUGGCUGUGAGGGAGGUGAGACCCUGGCCCAGGUUGCCCAGAGAAGCUGUGGCUGCCCCAUCCCUGGCAGUGUUGAAGGGCAGGUUGGAUGGGGCUUGGAGCAGCCUGGUCUAGUGGGAGGUGUCUCUGCCCAUGCAGGGGACUGGAACUAGAUGGUCUUUCCGGUCCUUCCCAACCCAAACCAUUCUAUGAUUCUAUGAAAGCAGCACCUUCUGCUGCUCAAAACCUUUGGAAGUUGAACGGUUUCCUUCUGCAAUUACCGUUUUGGAGGGAACUGUGGCAGCUGGGCUUCCCCAUCUCACCCUCCUCUAUCAUGCACACAGGGUGAGGAGCCACCCUCCAUGUGGGGUGCUCCAUGAUCUUGCUUCCCAAGAGCAUCCCUUCACUUAUAAAAUCCUCAGGCAUAUUGACCAGGCUCUGAAUUUCCACCCAUUGCUCCAGCCUGGCUCCAGCACCACUGGGGGCUCUGCCAUAUUUCUUUGUCUGUGGAUUUUAAAGUUUCCUGCAGCUGCUUGAAAUUUUUCCCAUGAAAAGUAAUUUCUCCUAUAAAUAUAAUGACUCAGUGAUGCUUGGGUAGAAUUUUCUUAUUUCUGGAAUCACUCUAAAAGGCAAAUGUCUUCUUCAUUCCUUACUUGGAUAAAGGUUUUUCUUUAGUAUCUGUUAUUUCCUGCUACUGCUCUUGUGAGUCAGGGCACCUUGCACAGACACUGUAGGGUUGUCUCAUGUCACAGAUGGUUAUUUAUGUGAGGGUGGAUAAUUACAGCCAUUAAUUGGGAAUUAAUUCAAGGCCAGGUUGGAUGGGGCUUGGAGCAACCUGGUCUCGUGGGAGGUGUCCCUGUCCAUGGCUGGAGGGGUGGGUCUGGAUGAUCUUGAAGGUCCCACCCAACCCAAACCGUCCUAUGAACCUGUGAAAUCCAGUGGGGACAU